UACGAGGGGGGCAAGUGUUGUUCGGAAUUACUGGGCGUAAAGGGAGCGUAGGCGGGCUCUUAAGUUGGAUGUUUAAAACCGGGACCUAACCCCGGCGUGGCAUCCAAAACUGGGAGUCUUGAAUGGGACAGAGGCCAGUGGAAUUAGAGGUGUAGCGGUGGAAUGCGUAGAUAUCUCUAAGAACACCAGUUGCGAAGGCGGCUGGCUGGGUCCACAUUGACGCUGAGGCUCGAAAGCGUGGGGAGCAAACAGG
rnacentral:rRNA from 1 species